GAGCAGCCGAUGUUCCCAGCUCCACUCCUGAAUCCUCACUAAGAGGACCAGCACCUGCCAAACUUGUGCCACGGGGGGCGCUGUUGAACACCGGCUUGGUGCAAAGUCUUCAAAUGCUUCAACAGCGUGCCCAGGAGACAAAGCGUUAGCUCUAGACACUUGGCCUGUUGCUCAUUCACAGCACAGUUAACAAGUCUCUGGAGUGGAAGCAGACGAGCAGUGCUGAACGGAAGAAGCCAGCCCAGCUGCCAUUUCCCUCUGCAGUUCUGCCCCCUGCAUGCCUGAGCGAGAAGAGCCAUCGAGUUAUUAGCCUUAGAGUGGGCAGAUUUCACGUACCAAUGAACAGAAUUCCGGCUUUGAGGCUUGAAAAAAAAAAAAUCACAGCAGAAUUGCAGCAAAAUUGAAGGGAGAAAGCGAUCCUUUCCCACCCUCCCCCCCAAAAGCUGCAGAGAAGAGUGGACAGCAUCCUGCAUCAUCAUCAUCCAUCCUUACAGACGUUCUCCCAACAUAGGAGUAGGCAAGUCACCUGGUUUUCCAAGGUUGCUGCUCUACCCUGAGAAAGGCAACCUUAACUUCCC